rnacentral:misc_RNA from 1 species
GAUGAAGAACGUAGCGAAAUGCGAUACGUAAUGUGAAUUGCAGAAUUCAGUGAAUCAUCGAAUCUUUGAACGCACAUUGCGCCUGCCAGCACUCUGGCAGGCAUGCCUGUUCGAGCAUCAUUUCAACCAUCAAGCCCUAGGCUUGCGUUGGAGCCCUGCGGCUGCCGCAGGCCCCUAAAAGCAGUGGCGGGCUCGCUAUCACACCGAGUGCAGUAGAUUACUCUUCGCUCAGGGCGUGUGGCGGGUUCCAGCCGUGAAACCCCCUACUUCUCAAGGUUGACCUCGGAUCAGGUAGGAAUACCCGCUGAACUUAAGCAUAUCAAUAAGCGGAUGA